UAAUUUUAAAAAACAAUGUAAAAUUGUUUGACAAUUCUUUUUCUUAGGUGAUAACUACAUACUGUAUCAUUUGAAAUAAUUCCUCUCCAUACUUGCCAAGAAACAGAUGAAAUGCAAACUUCACCUUCAAACUGAGAGAACAAGAUCUGCAAAGAUGGAACAACUUUUCUUUUCUAAGAGACAGAGUCUGCCCAGGCUGUUAUCAAACUCCUGGGCUCAAGUGAUCCUCUUGCCUUGGCCAACCAAAGUGCUGGGAUUACAGAUAAACUGCUGUACCAACAAGCCCUGUCAGAAGUCACCUCCAAAUGCAUGGAAUACCAGGAACGACCCCUCCCUUCCUUCAGAUCUGAUAUUUCCUUGACAAGCACUUUUUCUCAGACUAUCUUGCCAUCGAAUUUCUAUACUGCCUCAAGAUGACACUUUGUCUAGCAAAAAGUGAUGCAAAGCUCUUUUGCAAAAGCCCCUCAAAUUAAUACACCUUACAUAUUUUCACUAAUAACACUUUCCUUGGAAGCCCCAUAUGUGUAAUUAUGCUUUCACAGAUGGAAACAACUAAAACACAAGAUUAAACAAUCUCUCUGAGAUGACCUAGCAAAUCAUCCACCAAUGCAUGAUGUCUGACAACUUAUGACAUACAAAGGCUUACACUGACAACUCGCCCUCAUCCUUGUUUCUGUGCAGAAAAAUAAGGGAAAUCGUUUACUGGCCCAGAAGACCUCACGAUGGCAAAUUCAAUCAGAUCCUCAUUAACUAGAUCAAAAUGAGGCCUGACAGAGUCUUCAUUAGAUCUACAAAAUCCUGCUCGUUUUAGCUCUGAGUCUCCUGACUUGUCCGUGUCAUCAUAAAUUGGCUGUUUUGAAGUCAGAGAGGACAAAGUGCUUGCAGAUGAUGGUCAUCCUGCCUGCCCUAUAAGGACAAGGUUCUGUUAGAAAAAAUAAAACAGUGCAGCAGUGGCAAGGCCUGGCCAAAGAAAUAGGUUGCUAACCGGCAAGAAACAGACAAAAGAAAAACCCAGUUAUUUAAAAAUACUGACCAAAAUAAUAACAACUACAAAGACAUUGUCCCAGUCCCAUCACGGAAACCAAUGUAUACUUCUCUUGUGAAGCUGAAUUACAGGUCACUUAAGUUCUAUUACAUACAUUUUACAUUCCCAGUCAGAAAAAUGGCAUCCUCUAUAUCUGAAAAAAUUCAUCUAACCCCAGAUGAAC